CUAACAUUUAUAAUUUUGAUAUCUGCAGUAUUAUCAGGUGAUCCUCUAAAGAGGUACAAUUUAUUGGGGCACCUGGGUGCCUCAGUUGGUUGAGCGUUUGACUUCGGCUCAGGUCAUGAUCUCGCAGUUCGUGGAUUCGAGUGAUGGCUCGGAGCCUGGAGUCUGCUUUGGAUUCUGUGUCUCCCUCUCUUUGCCCCUCCCCUGCUCAUGCUCAUGCGCUCUCUCUCUCUCUCUCUCUCUCUCUCUCUCAAGAAUAAAUAAACUUAAAAAAAAUUAAAAGCAGUCUUCUGGAGGAGCAGUUCCAGCAGGGCAAGCUUCUUGCAUGCAUCGCUUCAAGACCAGGCCAGUGUGGCCAAGCAGAUGGCUAUGUGCUGGAGGGCAAGGAGCUAGAGUUCUAUCUGAGGAAAAUCAAAGCCUGGAAAGUCAGGUAAUAAAAGGUGUUUAUCCUGCCCUGUUAAAAAAAAAAAAAAAGUUAAAAAAAAAAAAGAGGUACAAUUUACAAUUGUUCUGAAUAGCGUCUCACCAACACUUGCCAAGACUGGGCUUUAGCGACUUUUUCUUUUUUUAUGUUUGUUUAUUUUUGAGAAAGAGAGCGUGAGCGGGGAAGGGGCAGAGAGAGAGGGAGACAGAAUCUGAAGCAGGCUCCAGAUUCUGAGCUGUCAGCACAGAGCCCCAUGCGGAACUUCAUCUCAUGAGCCACUAGAUCAUGACCUGAACCCAAGUUGGCUGCUUAACUGACUGAGCCACCCAGGAGCCCCUUUUAGCAACUUUUUUUUAGAGGGAAGAAAGUUGGUGAUGAUCCAGUAGGGACAAAUAGUAUCUUGUUUUCAUUUACAUUGAUUUAGUUCUUGGGGAAGUUAGAUAUUAUUUUUUUAAAGAUUUUAUUUUCAGGUAAUGUCAGACACCCAACGUGGGGCUUGAACCCACAACCCCGAGAUCAAGAGUCGCACACUCUACCAACUGAUUCAGCCAGGCACCUCUAUAUUUCAUGUUUUUACAGCUCAUUUAUGUUCUAUUCUUGUCCAGUUUUUCUAUACGGUGAUCUCUUCCCGCUGCAGAAGAGCUUUUAGUACUUUAAGGCAAAUGUCCUAGUGCUUUUGUGGUUUCACAGUUUGUAUGAAAAUGUUUGAUCCAUCAGGUUUGAUGUGAGUGUUAGGAGCAAGGCUGGGCUCCAGCUUGACUUUCUUCCAGCUGGCUAAGCCAUUGUCCUUCUGUCAUUUAUUGAAUUCUUUAUUGAGCCAUGCAUUCACUUAAAAUACCCCAAAAUAAACAAACCUUAAAAAUUUUUUGAGGAGUGCUUGAGUGGCUUAGUUAAGUGUCUGACCGGCUCAGGUCAUGAUCUCAUGGUUUGUGAGUUCGAGCGCCAUGUCAGGCUCUGUGCUGACAGCUCAGAGCCUGGAAUCUGCUUUAGAUUCUGUGUCUCCCUCUCUCUGCCCCUACCCCACUUGUACUCUGUCUCUCUCUCAAAAAUAAACAAACAUUAAAAAAUAAAAUACCUCUGUUGGGGAGCACCUAGGUGGCUCAGUCAGUUGAGCAUCCGACUCUUGGUUUUGGCUCAGUUCAUGAUCUCACAGUUUUGUGGGUUCGAGCCCCAAGUCUGGCUCUGCACUGGCAUGGAGCAGAGCCUGCUUAGGAUUCUCUUUCCCUCCCUCUCUCUCUGCCCCUCCCCUGCUUGCGCUGCCUCUCUCCAAAUAAAUAAAUAAAUAAAUAAAUAAAUAAAUUUAAUAAAAUAAAAUGCCUCUGUCAUAUUCUAGAUGCUUAUAUGUAUUUGGGCAGUAGUAAACUGCUUUGAUGGCUAUAGUGUUUGUUAGCUUGUUUUUGUUUUUGAACCACUUUUUAGAUCAGUUUACUAGUUUAAACCAAUCCUAGGGAGAGACAGGAUACCUGGAGAGAGGAGGGGUCUGAGAGUCAAACAGGUCAGGAUUUGAAUCCCAGCCAUAAGGUUUUAUCAGCUUUUUACCCCCUGGGCAAAUUGUUUAACUUUAGGAGCUCCUGGUUUUUUUUUUUUUGGUCUUUCAAAUCAGAUGAGGAUUGAAGGAGAUCCUGCCAGGAAAGCCCCCAGGCUGCCCUUCUGCUUCUGCUGGUGGCAUGAAGGUUCCCUCCCGGGGCCUGAGCUUUAGAGGGCCCGGGUGAGGGGUGAAGAAUCUGGAAGCCCGAGGCCUGGAGGUCAGCUCCCCACCCCCAACCCUCCAGGUACAGGAAUUCUAUGCUCAGUUGGUGCGGAGUCCAUUAGCAGGGCCUGCGUAGCCCUCUCCCCCAGUCUGCUCUUCAGAGGGAAGGCCAUCCCUGUAGAUCUGAAGGGCGGCCAAGGUGUGGGUCGGUAGGUUGUGGACAGAGUGUGAACAUUUGGCUUGGGGCGUCCACACAUGUGCAAGUGGGUCCCUCACUGUCAGAACAGAGAGGCGUGGGUAGGAAUAGAAGAGGGGGGAUCGAAAGCUCCAUUUGUACUCUUGCCCUGAACCUCUCCAAUGUGAGAGGUGGGCCUGCUUCUUUUCUUCUUUCUCUCUCUCUUUUUAAAAAAUUUUUAUUUUUUGAGAGAGAGAGAAAGAGCGAGCUUGUGAGCAGGGGAGAGGGGCAGAGAGAGAGAGAGAGAAAGAGAGAGAGAGAGAAUCCUAAGAAAGCUCCACACUUAGCUUGGAGCCCGCCACGGGGCUCGAUUCCAUGACCCUGGGAUCAUGACCUUGUAAGGGUUAAAUUGUAGUAUAGGGCUUCAAGCUUAGCUUGAAAAAUAACAGCUUUGUGUUGACACUGAAGGUGAAGAGAUAACAGUCUUGCUUUACUCUUUACGCCUUAUACUCUUGUAAAUUAGGCUUCACCAAUUAAGGAAACAAAAGUUCAAAGAAAAGAGCAUCAGAGGCAGGGUCAAGGAGAUCCACUGGUUGCAACUUAGAGGCAGAAAGUCUAAAAUAAACACCUCAUUAGGCAACUGUUUCUAACUCAUCUGGAAACUGUUUCUUUGUUCUGUUCCCAGGUGAUGAUAAAACAAUGUGAUCGGCUAUAAAAACUCUGUACCCCGGCUGUUCGAGGCUGCACUCUUACCAAGAGUGUUGGUCCCAAUUGGUCCGCCUUGCCUCUCAUUGUAAUAAACUUUGUUGUGACUGUCACUGGUGCCCGUAGCAUUCUGUUUCAGGAGUCGUGUGGAUGCAACAACCUGAGCUGAAAUCAAGAUUUGGACACUCAAGCUCAAUGGACUGAGCCAUUCAGGUACCCCUCUCCUUUCUCUCUUGAUGACAGAUUGCAAGCAGGGGGUGGGGCUGGGGGGAGUGGCUGGGAGUGGGAUGUACUCAUUUGUUCAACCAGCAGAGACUGGGAACUGACUGGAUGUAUUAGUUUCCUAGGGCUGCCCUAAUAAAAUACCACAAACUGGGUGGCUGAAAACAGCACAACUUUAUGGUCUCACAAUUCUAGAGAUUAGAAAUCUGAAAUCAAAGUAUCAGCAGGGGCAUGUUUUCUCUGAAGAUUCCAGGGGAACAUCUAUUCCAUGCUUUUCUCCUAACUUCUGGAAUGGCCCCCAGCCCCUGGUGUUCCUUGGCUUGUAGGCACAUCACUCCCAUCUCUCCCUCCGUCCUCACAUGCCUUUCCUUCUGUGCACCUGUGUU
rnacentral:tRNA from 1 species